AAUGAUCAGGGUGAUGGGAGUUGUAGUUUAACAUCUGGAGGUCAAAAGGUUCCCCAGCCCAAAUAUGGUAAAUACUAAACUGCCAACGGCAAGUACACUGGCUUUCUGCAUUCAAUGCAAUACAAUCAUACAAAUUAAGAUGUGCUUUCCAGUCCAUCUGCUCCAUCCAACCUACAGGAAUUUGCAAUCACUAAGUGCAAAAUGGUGCUGUAUCUUGGAAAACAACUCUCAAGCAUAGUAAUACCAUGAAAAAUUCAGUAGCUGAAUUCACGCCUCAAAAUCUAAAACCUGAGGAAAUCUUAUUCUUUGGUGGCAAUUUCAUAGUUGCAUUUCAGAAACAAAAGUGUUAUUCAAAAACACUUUAAAAAUUGCAUUGUUAAACACAGUCAAACCACAACCUGAAAGUAGACAUUAAAGCUGGCUCACCAAAGAAGGAAGCACAUAGUUUCACCACACAGUUAUCUGGGUACAUGACUGUGCAGAAAAACUUCGGUAUGAUAAACUUAUCACAGAGCUAGUCACAGCUAUUUUGCCAUUUUGAUGAAGAGCAACUACAAUCAAUGAAAUGGCUACAGGAAUCCUUAUGCAAGUAGUUAAUUGAUACCAAACUUACCCCAUGCAGUGCUGAACCAGAGUACAUAAUAACAAAGGUGAAAUAAGUACCACUGUUUGUGUCCACCCAUCGUAAGACAUGAGGGAAGGGGAACGUCAAAGGAAUCCAUUAAAAAUGGACUCAAACCAAUUUCCUUCCAUCUACCCAUUUGACCCCUACCCUUGCUGUGAAAGCCAUUCACCUUAAUUCUCUACAAUUUUUUUAACAUGCACACAUUAUACAAAAAAAAUAGAUAUAAAUUGUUUUGUAAUAUAUGUUAUUUACAUAUUCAUUGAUGUAUGGAGCUGGCUAUUUGCUUUUCCUAUUUCUGAAGUGUUGCUUGUUGCCAAAGGAAUCCUAUAAGCACUAAGAGUUCACUCCUUAUAUCUACUCAGAAGUAAAUCCCAUUGAAUUCCUUGAGGUUUACUCCCAGGUAAGUGCAGUUAAGAUUUUAUCACUGCUCUUCAGUUAAAGUCUUAGCAUCUUAAAGUGGGAAGAACCCACUUCAACUGCCCAUUUUUCAUCACCCAAAAUCUUCAUUUUAAAAGCAAAACUAAAUUUAAAAUGCCUUUCCUUUCCUCUCUGAAGUUUUCUUGACUGUCCCUCCCUGAUGCCUCAGGAAAUGAGCUAGAAUGAGAAGUUUAUACUGAACUGUGAAAGCAAGGUUGUGAGAGUUGCUGCAAUCCUAAUGUCCUGAACCCUGGGGCCUACCUGGCAGCAAGUCAGUAUGCCAAAUCCAAGGGUCUGGAAACACAGUCCAGGAUCAAUCCAAGUAGCCAAGUCUGAAGUCCAGCAGUUGGGAUACAGUCCAGAGUCAAACCCAAAGCACAGCCCCAUAGAGAUCCAGCAGUAUACAAAUCAAGACCCAUCAACAAAGGCAGUUGAACAGACACAGCACCUCAGCUCUGCUUCCCUUUUGUACUUUGCAUGCUGAUUGCAGCAUCUGGGCUUGAUGAGGCAGGUGACCCUCACCUGUUCCAAGCCUACUCCAGCUGAGGAAUCACACUCAUUCUCCCAGAGCUAGCAAGCCCCACCUGGCCAGAUUGGGAGCUGGGCUGUGGACCCUCAGCAUCCUAGAGUACCCCUCCUGCUGCUCCCUAUGCCUCAGAGCCUGCUGUGGAGACAGGGGCCCCUAUGGCUCUGGUGAUGGGUCAUGCUGCUCCAUGUCCUGUGCACUGUCCCCCAUCCCUUCAUCAUCCUGUCAUCCUGUGAGUACUUCCUUCCCUCUCCCCUGCUCGCCCCGGUGUGUCCCAGUCCCAGCUACACCCCUUGUUGUGAUCCUCUUCCUGUUGUCCUGCUAGUUCAUGACACCCAGCUUUGCUUACCUGGAAGAAAGACUGUGUUCAAGGGAACUUAUUUCUGAGUAGACAUGAACAGGUAGACAUCCAGCCAUAGAUAGUUUGGUAAUAGGGCAUUAGCCACUUCAUUAACUUUGUCUUUAAGGGUCUUUAUUGUUUUUGCCUCAAAGGACUAACAGGGCUACCCCUCUGGAAAGUCCUUAACUUUGAAAGAGAACAUGUAGGGAAGGUAAUUGAUAUCUGUGGAUGGUUGAGAUAUAGGUGUCUAUUUUGUGCUGUGUAAAAAUACAUUAAAAAUACAUGCAUUUCUGCAUCAAUGGACACAAAAUGAAACACAGCAGAAUGGAAAAUGUCACAUGACAGUGGAAAUGAAUAUCGUAAUAGAUUUGUGUGACUCCUCUCAAUUCUCCUCAGACUCGGCCUACAUGGCUAAUAGUCAUUUGACAGGGGUGGCAUUAGAUGUAGUCCAGCAAGUGGAAGGCAUGGGUUCCCCAUCUCCAUUUUGAACCUUAUCUACAACAAGCUUUGCCCCACCCCACCCCCCAUGCUUAGGCCAAGUAUUUUGCAUUGUACAAAGCUCUGUAGCUGGCAGCUGCAACUCCAGCCAUUGAUUUCUUUCUGCAGUAACUUCUCAUGAUUGAGAACCUGAUGGAAAAGUGACAAUGUAAACAUUUGUGGCAGGGGCCAUUUAGCCAAAGGCACUUUGGAGAAUCCCCCAGAAGGAACUAAUGGUGCUAAUAAAAUUGUAAUUGUUUCUAACCUUAGCAAUGGCUCAGGUAAAUCAACAGCACUUUGUAUCCAAUCAUAAACAAAGUUCUUCUCCCUUUCCUUAAAUUUGCUCUUGAGAAGCUCAUGAAAGUGAGCAGAGCACAAUCAAGAAGCCCCCAACGAUCAUGUGUUCUUCUGACAAAUAAGGAUUUGCCUUUUUUUUAACCCCUGACCUUUCUUUAUACUUUCUCUCUUCUAGCCACAGAUAGGGACCAAUGAAGCUUGAGAUGAGAAGGUGACUGCAGUGAAAGAGAAUGGUCCGAAGAUCCCUGCGGUGAGUGGAAUUAACAGCUGUGGAAAUGUUUGACAUUCUGUGCCUUCUGGCCUUGUGGCUACUUUGACAAAGCAUGGAAUGCUCAGGGCACAGGAAUCUGUCCCUUUGGACACAAUAGGACUCAGAACUGCUCUGACUCUCCUAUAAGGAGGAGAGGUAUGGUUAUGGUACCAUUUGUGCAUCUACGUAAUGGCAUCUCCAAAGUAUUAAAUAGCAACAGAAAAAUAGUAGCAGAAAAUGCUGCUUCCUCAUCCCUAGCUCAAUACACCAGUACAAGAACACAGUGCAAAAAUGAUGGGCAUUAGCCAUCCGUUCGCCCUGCUAGCCAUGCAGGAGCAAAUCAGCAUAGGACUCAUUGCAGUACACUUUCCCAGCAGUAGGAUAGCUGCUGCUUACCGGGAGGGAGAGUAGGAGAGACAGGGAGGCAGGUGGGUCAAUACUGUGCAAAUGCACAGGCAGAGGUCCACCACUGUCCUACCCCACCACCUGCCACUGAUGGAAAGGACUGAUAUCAAGAUGAAUAUAAUACUGAAAUAUUGGAAAUAUUAAUCACUCCGUUGAUAUGCAAGCUGCUUCAUCUGAUAGCUGCUUUGGGAGAGUUAAAAUGUACGGACUGCUUUGUAAGACACGUCUUAGUGUAUCUUGUUGUCAUUGUUGCUGCUGCUUAAACAUGCUGGUGGUCUCCUAACCACUACUAGAGGAUGGAGAGAUUUCAAAGUAUUUUCACUAAAAGGCAUAGAGCAAAAUAUUCUAAGAAUACCUGCCAUUACUCUGUGCUAUGAUGUCUGUUUGUUUUCUGGCUUUUCGCCUAAUCCACAGUGCGGAAAAGUUCCUUGCAUUUGCCUAUGUGUUCCAAGUCUUGAACAUAGCGGCAGCAGCCAGAUUAUUUCUGUAUAGACCCAUGGAGCAGGAAAUGCCAGAUGAAUAUGGUUGGUGGUGAAGCCUGAUGGACGUUUCUUCCUACAAAAUGGAUGAGGUGGGGCAGGGGAGGAAACUGAGGCUUACCUGCCCUAAUAAAUUUCCCUUCUGGCUCUCAGUGUUGAUCUCCAUGUAGCAACUGCUCUGAUGGUAUUCCCUGCUGUGUGCUAUAUGCAGACAUCAGGUACUGCAUAGGCAUUGCUCCAACAUAUACAGAAAAGAGGGGGAGAGUUAACUGAUCUGCAGUGCACCAAAGCAAGUUGAAUGUACAAACCAAAGCUGUUUCAGCCAACACUCUGUGCACAGACUUUAAGUUCCUAAAUACUGAAAGUGGGUGAGUGAGAAGCAGUGGUUUUGAUUUUGAUUUUUAAUUCAGCUAACCCGGAUACACCUAGCCAUGUAAGCUCUCUGUUUGUGGAAAUUGGUACCCAGUUUUUUCUUUACAGUUAAGCUUUUUACUUCAGUGGCAAGGCCCAGAGCGUUUUUUAUCUUGCUGCAAGGAAAGCUUUGCCACAAAACCUACAGGGGGAAAGGGUUGCAGCAGAAAGCACAAAGGCAGCAGAUAAGAAGGGGUGGCCAUGGCUUACAGAUAUGAUGGAGUGGAAAGUGCUAUGACGGCAGGGGAAGUAUACUAAGGACUGGAAGUAUGCACCAACCACAAGAUUUGGUUUUGACUACAGGCUACUCCCCACUUUCACAGGGGCAAUGUUCCGGUCCCCUGUUGGCAUAAACAAAAUGCACUUAAGUGGGGAGCCCUCUGCAAUAAAUCUUCUCUCCAAACAGCUGUUUAGCAGGGCUGUGUGGCAGCAGUAAAAGCUCCCAUGCAAAGAACUAAAAGGGAUUCACUUUACAGGCAAAAUCAUCCCCUCUGGUUAUAAAGUGGAAUGACCCAUUAUCAUGGAGCUUCCCCUCUGCCAUCUGCCCUCUCCAUCCUGGCAUCUUCCUUGAGUUUAGAUAUGUAAAUUUCACUCUUGCAAAGUUGUUCCCUCUCCCCAAGCAAUGGGAUUGAAGAGCCCUGCUAAAAACAAUUUCUUCUGAUUACAAGGUAGGGAGCUCCUCCUCCUGAUCCUGGCCUUUUCCUUAAACUAGGGAGCUAAGUUUCAAUUUUGCAAAGCGGCUCCCUCUCCCGCUGCUCUUCCUCAACUCCAUGGCAUUUUCCUUAUACUAUAAGCUUAGAGACAUAGUUUCACUUUUAGCAGACACUCAUCUGCAGCAUUUUUUAAAUUGGCUGGAUCACUGAGGCACCACUAAGUGCUUCAGGGAUCGCUGCUUCGAUUCAUGCAGUUUUGUAACAAUUUUGCUUCACCUUGGACAGGCCCCAAAUUCCUCCAAGACACUCAACCUUGGAUUCCGGAUUUGUCCAAAUCUGAUGCACACCCCUGCUAAGAAUCUACUCAGAGGCAAAACAGCUUUACAAGCUGUUAUGACAGACAGACAGUGUCAGUGUUGGCAUUACUGGGCACCUCUGUAGACCACAUGUUACUAGAGGCCCUGAACUAGUCAUCCUCCUUGCUGUCACGGCCUCUUACAUUGUCUCCUCCAAGCAAGUGAGUCCUUAUUGAAGAAGGAGCAACAACCUGCUCCCCUUCUUCUCCCCACUGAGCAGAGAGGGCAUGUGAAAGGGCAGUGAUGGCACCAGGAGGAAGAGGUGAGCACUGAGGAUAUAGUAAAAAGGACCAUUAGGUCCAGUCAUGACCGACACUGGGGUUGCGGUGCUCAUCUUGCUUUAUUGGCUGAGGGAGCUGGCAUACAGCUUCCGGGUGAUGUGGCCAGCAUGACAAAGCUGCUUCUGGCGAACCAGAGCAGUGCACGGAAACACCGUUUACCUUCCCGCUGGAGCGGUACCUAUUUAUCUACUUGCACUUUGACGUGCUUUCAAACUGCUAGGUUGGCAGGAGCAGGGACCGAGCAACGGGAGCUCACACCGUUGCGGGGAUUCGAACUGCCAACCUUCUGAUCGGCAAGUCCUAGGCUCUGUGGUUUAACCCACAGUGCCACCCGUGUCCCUGAAGAUAUAGAGCGAUAUAUAU
rnacentral:lncRNA from 1 species